UACGUAGGGUCCGAGCGUUGUCCGGAAUUACUGGGCGUAAAGAGCUCGUAGGUGGUUUGUCGCGUUGUUCGUGAAAACUCACAGCUCAACUGUGGGCGUGCGGGCGAUACGGGGCAGACUAGAGUACUGCAGGGGGAGACUGGAAUUCCUGGUGUAGCGGUGGAAUGCGCAGAUAUCAGGAAGAACACCCGUGGCGAAGGCGGCUCUCUGGGACGGUACUGACGCUGAGACGCGAAAAGCGUGGGGGAGCGAACAGG
rnacentral:rRNA from 1 species